GACGAACGCUGGCGUCGUGCUUACACAUGCAAGUCGAACGGAAAGGCCCUGCUUGCAGGGUACUCGAGUGGCGAACGGGUGAGUAACACGUGGGUGAUCUGCCCUGCACUUCGGGAUAAGCCUGGGAAACUGGGUCUAAUACCGGAUAGGAGCCAUUUUUAGUGUGAUGGUUGGAAAGUUUUUUCGGUGUAGGAUGAGCUCGCGGCCUAUCAGCUUGUUGGUGGGGUAAUGGCCUACCAAGGCGGCGACGGGUAGCCGGCCUGAGAGGGUGGACGGCCACAUUGGGACUGAGAUACGGCCCAGACUCCUACGGGAGGCAGCAGUGGGGAAUAUUGCACAAUGGGCGCAAGCCUGAUGCAGCGACGCCGCGUGGGGGAUGUCGGCCUUCGGGUUGUAAACUCCUUUCGCUAGGGACGAAGCUUUUGUGACGGUACCUAGAUAAGAAGCACCGGCUAACUACGUGCCAGCAGCCGCGGUAAUACGUAGGGUGCGAGCGUUGUCCGGAUUUAUUGGGCGUAAAGGGCUCGUAGGUGGUUGAUCGCGUCGGAAGUGUAAUCUUGGGGCUUAACCCUGAGCGUGCUUUCGAUACGGGUUGACUUGAGGAAGGUAGGGGAGAAUGGAAUUCCUGGUGGAGCGGUGGAAUGCGCAGAUAUCAGGAGGAACACCAGUGGCGAAGGCGGUUCUCUGGGCCUUUCCUGACGCUGAGGAGCGAAAGCGUGGGGAGCGAACAGGCUUAGAUACCCUGGUAGUCCACGCUGUAAACGGUGGGUACUAGGUGUGGGGUCCAUUCCACGGGUUCCGUGCCGUAGCUAACGCUUUAAGUACCCCGCCUGGGGAGUACGGCCGCAAGGCUAAAACUCAAAGGAAUUGACGGGGCCCCGCACAAGCGGCGGAGCAUGCGGAUUAAUUCGAUGCAACGCGUAGAACCUUACCUGGGUUUGACAUGGAUCGGGAGUGCUCAGAGAUGGGUGUGCCUCUUUUGGGGUCGGUUCACAGGUGGUGCAUGGCUGUCGUCAGCUCGUGUCGUGAGAUGUUGGGUUAAGUCCCGCAACGAGCGCAACCCUUGUUCACUGUUGCCAGCACGUUAUGGUGGGGACUCAGUGGAGACCGCCGGGGUCAACUCGGAGGAAGGUGGGGAUGACGUCAAGUCAUCAUGCCCCUUAUGUCCAGGGCUUCACGCAUGCUACAAUGGCUGGUACAGAGAGUGGCGAGCCUGUGAGGGUGAGCGAAUCUCGGAAAGCCGGUCUCAGUUCGGAUUGGGGUCUGCAACUCGACCUCAUGAAGUCGGAGUCGCUAGUAAUCGCAGAUCAGCAACGCUGCGGUGAAUACGUUCCCAGGGCU
rnacentral:rRNA from 1 species